rnacentral:lncRNA from 1 species
UGAUCGUAAGGUAAAUGAUGUCGAAAAAUUAUAAAAUUUGAUUUCUAGAAGUUUUAAAUGCUGUAAAUAACGUUUAACGGUAUAGAUCGUCGAUUCGGAAGCUCUAUAAUCAAAAACGAUUUAUGAGUACAAGAACAAUCGUACUCAUAAUAGUAUAGUAGCCGGACCUAUAUAGGCCGUGGCUAUUAUACUAUUAUGAGUAUUGGAGCCCUCGUACUCAUAAGUUGUUUUCGAUGAUGGAACUUCCGAAUCGACGAUCAACUCCGUUAAAUAUGAUCUAGAGUAUUUGAAACUUCUAGAAAAUAAAUUUCGUAAAUUUUCGAAAUCAUAAUAAAGUCAAUCAAGCGGGCAUAAAAUGAACGGUCAAAAUCGAACGACAUCUUAAAAAAGGAUGAUCGGAUCCUUCAAUUCAAGAUCGGAGUUAUUGAUUUUUAUCUAGAUAGUGAAUAGAAUUUUCUAUCAAAAAUUCAACAAAUUCCGAUUCUUUUACACCGUUAAACUAGUAAGUAUCCCAUACCGGCCAUUAAAAAUUGUCAAAUUUGUGACCUCUUGAUCGUAAGGUAAAUGAUGUCGAAAAAUUAUAAAAUUUGAUUUCUAGAAGUUUUAAAUGCUGUAAAUAACGUUUAACGGUAUAGAUCGUCGAUUCGGAAGCUCUAUAAUCAAAAACGAUUUAUGAGUACAAGAACAAUCGUACUCAUAAUAGUAUAGUAGCCGGACCCAUAUAGGCCGUGGCUAUUAUACUAUUAUGAGUAUUGGAGCCCUCGUACUCAUAAGUUGUUUUCGAUGAUGGAACUUCCGAAUCGACGAUCAACUCCGUUAAAUAUGAUCUAGAGUAUUUGAAACUUCUAGAAAAUAAGUUUCGUAAAUUUUCGAAAUCAUAAUAAAGUCAAUCAAGCGGGCAUAAAAUGAACGGUCAAAAUCGAACGACAUCCUAAAAAAGGAUAAUCAGAUCCUUCAAUUCAAGAUUGGAGUUAUUGAUCUUUAUCUCGGUAGUGAAUAGAAUUUUCUAUCAAAAAUUCAACAAAUUCCGAUUCUUUUACACCGUUAAACUAGUAAGUAUCCCAUACCGGCCAUUAAAAAUUGUCAAAUUUGUGACCUCUUGAUCGUAAGGUAAAUGAUGUCGAAAAAUUAUAAAAUUUGAUUUCUAGAAGUUUUAAAUGCUGUAAAUAACGUUUAACGGUAUAGAUCGUCGAUUCGGAAGCUCUAUAAUCAAAAACGAUUUAUGAGUACAAGAACAAUCGUACUCAUAAUAGUAUAGUAGCCGGACCCAUAUAGGCCGUGGCUAUUAUACUAUUAUGAGUAUUGGAGCCCUCGUACUCAUAAGUUGUUUUCGAUGAUGGAACUUCCGAAUCGACGAUCAACUCCGUUAAAUAUGAUCUAGAGUAUUUGAAACUUCUAGAAAAUAAGUUUCGUAAAUUUUCGAAAUCAUAAUAAAGUCAAUCAAGCGGGCAUAAAAUGAACGGUCAAAAUCGAACGACAUCCUAAAAAAGGAUAAUCAGAUCCUUCAAUUCAAGAUUGGAGUUAUUGAUCUUUAUCUCGGUAGUGAAUAGAAUUUUCUAUCAAAAUUUCAACAAAUUCCGAUUCUUUUACACCGUUAAACUAGCAAGUAUUCCAUACCGGCCAUUAAAAAUUGUCAAAUUUGUGACCUCUUGAUCGUAAGGUAAAUGAUGUCGAAAGAUUAUAAAAUUUGAUUUCUACAAGUUUUAAAUGCUGUAAAUAACGUUUAAAGGUAUGGAUCGUCGAUUCGAAAGCUCUAUAAUCGAAAACGAUUUAUGAGUACAAGAACAAUCGUACUCAUAAUAGUAUAGUAGCCGGACCCUAUAUAUAUAUAUAUAAUCCAGCUAUUAUACUCUUCUGAGUAUAGGUCCCUUUCUACUCAUAAGUUUUCGACCGUUAGAUCUACCUCUUUGACUAUUUCUAUCUGUUAGAUUGUACUAUUCAACCAACUACCUACUCAAUCUUAGAGAACCACUAUCAUCCUAACCGCACAUCUCUUCAUCCAAUAGUCGAAAAUUUAUAAGUACAAAAGGCUCUAUACUCAUAAGAAUAUAGUAACCCUAGCCUAUAUAUGAGUCCGGCUACUACAACAUCUAACAUUUAUAUCCGUUUUAUUGAUCCAAUA